rnacentral:tRNA from 1 species
GGGCGAAUAGCUCAGCUGGCUAGAGCGCCUCGUUUACACCGAGGAGGUCGCGGGUUCAAGCCCUGCUUCGCCCAC